CCCUACAAACUGUAUAUAUGUAUUACUCCAAUAGUCGUAUACAAUUAUGAGUCUGAAUGUUUCAAUCGAAGACAAUAAGUGUUUACGAAUAUCAGAGUAUUAUGAUAUAAGCACAUACGGGAAA
rnacentral:precursor_RNA from 15 species